GACGAACGCUGGCGGCGUGCUUAACACAUGCAAGUCGAACGGAAAGGCCCCUUUGGGGGUACUCGAGUGGCGAACGGGGGAGUAACACGUUGGUAACCUGCCCUUGACUUCGGGAUAACCUCAGGAAACUGGGGCUAAUACCGGAUAGGAAUCCUUGCUGCAUGGUGGGGGUUGGAAAGCUUCGGCGGUUUUGGAUGGACUCGCGGCUUAUCAGCUUGUUGGUGGGGUAGUGGCUUACCAAGGCUUUGACGGGUAGCCGGCCUGAGAGGGCGACCGGCCACAUUGGGACUGAGAUACGGCCCAGACUCCUACGGGAGGCAGCAGUGGGGAAUAUUGCACAAUGGGCGGAAGCCUGAUGCAGCAACGCCGCGUGCGGGAUGACGGCCUUCGGGUUGUAAACCGCUUUCAGCAGGGGCGAAGCUUGUGGUGACGGUACCUGCAGAAGAAGCACCGGCUAACUACGUG
rnacentral:rRNA from 1 species